rnacentral:rRNA from 1 species
UACGUAUGGGGCAAGCGUUAUCCGGAUUUACUGGGUGUAAAGGGAGCGUAGGCGGCGGGGCAAGCCUGAUGUGAAAGCCCGGGGCUCAACCCCGGGACUGCAUUGGGAACUGCCCUGCUGGAGUGCCGGUGGGGCAGGCGGAACUCCUAGUGUAGCGGUGAAAUGCGUAGAUAUUAGGAGGAACACCAGUGGCGAAGGCGGCCUGCUGGACGGUGACUGACGCUGAGGCUCGAAAGCGUGGGGAGCAAACAGG